rnacentral:lncRNA from 1 species
CAACAAGGGAUUCUUCUUUCGACUCGUUUCAAAUGAGCCAAAAGCUCGUGGUUAGUUAAUUGUCUUAAGUCAUGCAAAUUUACGAAGUUUGAAUCUUAUUAUUAUUAUUAUUAUUAUUAUUAUUAUUAUUAUUAUUAUUAUUAUUAUUAUUAUUAUUAUUAUUAUUAUUAUUAUUAUGUGUCUGAUUGGAGAUGUAGAUUCUGGGUAUUCCAUGGGAAAUUGAUACCGAGGGUCUGAGAGAAUACAUGAGCAAGUUUGGUGAAUU